rnacentral:tRNA from 1 species
UUAAAAAUAAGCUAAAUUAAGCUUUUGGGCUCAUACCCCAAAUAUGAAGGAAACCCCUUUUUUUUAAA